UGGGGAAUAUUGCACAAUGGGGGAAACCCUGAUGCAGCGACGCCGCGUGAAGGAAGAAGUAUCUCGGUAUGUAAACUUCUAUCAGCAGGGAAGAAUUAGGACGGUACCUGACUAAGAAGCCCCGGCUAACUACGUGCCAGCAGCCGCGGUAAUACGUAGGGGGCAAGCGUUAUCCGGAUUUACUGGGUGUAAAGGGAGCGUAGACGGAUGGACAAGUCUGAUGUGAAAGGCUGAGGCUCAACCCCGGGACUGCAUUGGAAACUGCCCGUCUUGAGUGCCGGAGAGGUAAGCGGAAUUCCUAGUGUAGCGGUGAAAUGCGUAGAUAUUAGGAGGAACACCAGUGGCGAAGGCGGCUUACUGGACGGUAACUGACGUUGAGGCUCGAAAGCGUGGGGAGCAAACA
rnacentral:rRNA from 1 species